AGCUUUGCGCAGUGGCAGUAUCAUAGUCAAUGAGGUUUAUCCGAGGUGUGAUUAUUGCUAAUUCAAAUAUUUAAAAUAUACUUCGUAUUUUGAAAAACCAAAUUAAAGUUGAAUUAUAGAAUCUGAAAGAUGAACACAGUUGGCCUUCCAG
rnacentral:snRNA from 1 species